rnacentral:rRNA from 1 species
UACGGGGGGGGCAAGCGUUGUUCGGAAUUAUUGGGCGUAAAGAGCUCGUAGGCGGUUCGUCGCGUCGGCUGUGAAAACCCGGAGCUCAACUCCGGGCCUGCAGUCGAUACGGGCGGACUUGAGUGUUGCAGGGGAGACUGGAAUUCCUGGUGUAGCGGUGAAAUGCGCAGAUAUCAGGAGGAACACCGGUGGCGAAGGCGGGUCUCUGGGCCGAUACUGACGCUGAGGAGCGAAAGCGUGGGGAGCGAACAGG